rnacentral:ncRNA from 1 species
UAUCUGGUUGAUUCUGCCAGUAGUCAUAUGCUUGUCUCAAAGAUUAAGCCAUGCAUGUCUAAGUAUAAGCACAUUGUACGGUGAAACUGCGAAUGGCUCAUUAAAUCAGUUAUCGUUUAUUUGAUAGUACCUUACUACAUGGAUACCUGUGGUAAUUCUAGAGCUAAUACAUGCUAAAAACCUCGACUUCGGAAGGGGUGUAUUUAUUAGAUAAAAAACCAAUGCCCUUCGGGGCUCUCUGGUGAUUCAUAAUAACUUCUCGAAUCGCAUGGCCUUGCGCCGGCGAUGGUUCAUUCAAAUUUCUGCCCUAUCAACUUUCGAUGGUAGGAUAGUGGCCUACCAUGGUGGCAACGGGUAACGGGGAAUUAGGGUUCGAUUCCGGAGAGGGAGCCUGAGAAACGGCUACCACAUCCAAGGAAGGCAGCAGGCGCGCAAAUUACCCAAUCCCGAUACGGGGAGGUAGUGACAAUAAAUACUGAUACAGGGCUCUUUAGGGUCUUGUAAUUGGAAUGAGUACAAUUUAAACCCCUUAACGAGGAACAAUUGGAGGGCAAGUCUGGUGCCAGCAGCCGCGGUAAUUCCAGCUCCAAUAAGCGUAUAAUUAAAGGGUUGGUUUGCAGUUAAAAAGCCUCGGUAGUUGAACCUCCUUGGGCCUGUAUGGACGGUGCCGCCUUCAAACGGCGCGCACUGGUCCGGCUUGGGUCUUUCCUCCUGGGGAACCCCAUGGCCUUCACUGGCCGUGGCCGGAACCAGGGCUUUCCACCUGGUGAAAAAAAUAGAGCGUUCAAAGCAGGCCUUUGGUCGGAUACCAUUAGCAU